AAUUCCAAACGAUUUCUCUGUACUCUGUAGUAGGUAGUUUAAAGUUGUGGAGAUUUGGACUCCACAGCUUUAGGCGGCCUGCUAGAAUGUACAGACUCACGCCAAAGAAUAGC
rnacentral:precursor_RNA from 10 species